rnacentral:siRNA from 1 species
AUAGUGUGUCCAAAAAUUAGGUAG